GGUAGUCAACAGUGCAGCGGAGCGCCGUACCUCCCGACCUUCUUGAGACCCCUCUUUUCAUCUCUGGAGGGCGUCCGCGUAGGUUAGCAGGGACCCAUCAGACUCUGAUUAUCGUACGCCGGCGAGCGACGAAGAAGGAGAGAUGGACCAUUACUCAGGAGGAGGCUGGUCUAUGAUUCCGCCCGUUGCGACCCACAGUAACACCUCUACACCCUCAAAUCAAGACCACCUCUACCUGACUCACCAACAACAACAAUUUCAACUCCAACAACAACAACAACAACAAUUUCAACAACAACGUCUGCUUCAACAACAACAACAACAGCCGCAGCAGCAGCAACAGCAACAGCACCAUCAGCAUCAAUCACUGGCCUCUCACUUCCACCUCUUACAUAUGGUGGAGAAUUUAGCGGACGUGAUUGAGCAUGGAACUAGGGAUCAACAAUCAGAUGCAUUGGUAAGUGAUUUGAACACCCACUUUGAGAAGUGCCAGCAUCUGUUAAAUUCGAUAUCGGGUUCAAUUAACACCAAGGCUAUGACAGUUGAGGGUCAGAAGCGGAAGUUGGAGGAAAGUGAGCAGUUGUUGAAUCAGCGGAGGGAUCUAAUUGGGAAGUACAGAAGUUCUGUUGAAGAGCUUAUCAAGUCCGAGCCAUAGCUGCCUCUCACCCUUCUGAUAGUGUCUCUCCAAAAUGGCUGACUGCUAGUUUAAAAGCUUGCAGAUAAAUGACUUUUUGAGGGAUUUCAUGGACAUCGUUAAGGUCUAGUUUCUGUCGGAGCAUUCUCUCGAGUCUUAAUGAAAGCCCGGGAUUUGUUUGGUUUAUGUAGUUCUAUGUAUAAAGUAUUGUAAUUGUUUUCGCUUAUAUAUUGAGCAUGUAGGACAAUCCCCAUGAAAUAAACUCAUUCCCUAAUCCAGUUUUAAUGGGAUUGUUUGGCGCCUUAGAAAGAUUCUCCCCUAUUUCUACA